UCAAUUUGAUUGGCUACUCUUAUAAAAGGGGAAACCUUUCCUUCUCAAUCUCAUUUUACUUUUAAAGUUUCUUUCAUCCAUCAUAUUUAUUCACCUCCUGCAUUUAUUUUCAUAAAGUGCUUUCUUGGAGCUUUAUUUCUACUUUUGUUUGCUACGUAAUGAACUCCAUUGGUCAUCAGUCAUCCCUUCAACUUAUAAUUCUUAUUUCUAUAUUUUUUCUUUUAUAUUCAUGGAGAAUAUGCCCAUGUUAAUCCUUUUCCUGAGCGUGUUUUGGUGUCUUUUCCUUGAGUCAUGCUUCAUUCAUCUUCAAUCAUGGUGGUCGCGGGUGAUGCUACGCCCGACCAACUUUUUCAGUCAUAUGCUCGAUGGUUAUCUCUCUUGUUUUUCUUUGCUUU
rnacentral:lncRNA from 1 species